rnacentral:piRNA from 1 species
GAGCCACUCAGUACACCAGAACC